CCUGACCUCGGCUAGUCUUGUACUAUUCUUUAUGAUUUCUAAAGUCCGGUAACAUUCUCGUUGUUCUUUUAGUAUUUGCCUGUUGGAUCCAGUCUGUCCAUGACAAAUGCACAUCUAGAACAUAUGAGGUCCCUGGAUGGAAUAUUUCGAUAACGGAGUAUACCAAGAUUCUUCUCCCACAUUCCUUUAACCCGUUCCAACCCACCAAGCAGAAUACAGAUUUAAUCAC